rnacentral:rRNA from 1 species
GCCCAGUCCCAUUUCGAACCUGGAAGCUAAGCUCCGCAUCGCUGAUGAUACUGCAGCCUUCGGCUGUGGAAAAGUAGGUCGGCGCCAGGC